GACGAACGCUGGCGGCGUGCUUAACACAUGCAAGUCGAGCGGAAAGGCCCUUCGGGGUACUCGAGCGGCGAACGGGUGAGUAACACGUGAGUAACCUGCCCCAGACUUUGGGAUAACCCUCGGAAACGGGGGCUAAUACCGGAUACGACACAGCUUCGCAUGGGGUCUGUGUGGAAAGUUUUUCGGUUUGGGAUGGGCUCGCGGCCUAUCAGCUUGUUGGUGGGGUGAUGGCCUACCAAGGCGACGACGGGUAGCCGGCCUGAGAGGGCGACCGGCCACACUGGGACUGAGACACGGCCCAGGCUCCUACGGGAGGCAGCAGUGGGGAAUAUUGCACAAUGGGCGGAAGCCUGAUGCAGCGACGCCGCGUGAGGGAUGACGGCCUUCGGGUUGUAAACCUCUUUCAGCAGGGACGAAGCGUAAGUGACGGUACCUGCAGAAGAAGCGCCGGCCAACUACGUG
rnacentral:rRNA from 1 species